CCUACGGGUGGCAGCAGUGAGGAAUAUUGGUCAAUGGGCGGGAGCCUGAACCAGCCAAGUCGCGUGAGGGAAGACGGUCCUAUGGGUUGUAAACCUCUUUAGUCGGGGAGCAAUGCCGGGCACGCGUGCCCGGAGGGAGAGUACCCGCAGAAUAAGCAUCGGCUAACUCCGUGCCAGCAGCCGAGGUAAUACGGGGGAUGCGAGCGUUAUCCGGUUUUAUUGGGUUUAAAGGGUGCGUAGGCGGGUGUUUAAGUCGGCGGUAAAAGGUCGGGGCUCAACCCGGGCCGGCCGUUGAAACUGGCGAUCUUGAGUGGGCUAGAGGUAUGCGGAAUGCGUGGUGUAGCGGUGAAAUGCAUAGAGAUCACGCAGAACUCCGAUUGCGAAGGCAGCAUACCGGCGCACGACUGACGCUGAGGCACGAAAGCGUGGGGAUCGAACAGGAUUAGAUACCCUUGUAGUC
rnacentral:rRNA from 1 species